rnacentral:rRNA from 1 species
CAGCAGCCACGGGAAUACGUAGGUGGCAAGCGUUGUCCGGAAUUAUUGGGCGUAAAGGGCUCGCAGGCGGUUUCUUAAGUCUGAUGUGAAAGCCCCCGGCUCAACCGGGGAGGGUCAUUGGAAACUGGGAAACUUGAGUGCAGAAGAGGAGAGUGGAAUUCCACGUGUAGCGGUGAAAUGCGUAGAGAUGUGGAGGAACACCAGUGGCGAAGGCGACUCUCUGGUCUGUAACUGACGCUGAGGAGCGAAAGCGUGGGGAGCGAGCAGGAUUAGAUACCCCUGUAGUCCCUGUCUCUUAUAA